AUGCGCAGAUUAUUUGUUUACCACUUAGAACACAGGAUGUCAGCGCCAUCUUGUGACGGCGAAUGUGGGGGCGGCUCCCAACAUGUAACCUUGACUGGACUGGAACUCACUCUGUAGACCAGGCUGGCUUCAAACUCAAAGAUCCACCUGCCCCUGCUGGGUGCUGGGACUAAAGGCCUGCACCACACGCCUGACUGGUGAAUUGUCUUCUAAUUCUAAAUCUGGUACUAAGUGCUCUAAGAAAGCUCAAGAGGCUCACUGGUGUUGUGGUGGCCCAGGGCGUCAGUAGUGCCGUGACCUCCAGCAAGCGUAUGGCCUGGCAGUGGAGACUGACUAACCCUAAGGAACUGUGUU
rnacentral:lncRNA from 1 species